AGCCGGAUAGCUCAACAAAUAGAGCGGUCGCCUGAUAAUUGGUAGAUCUUGGGUUCAAUCCCAAUCCGUGCUA
rnacentral:tRNA from 1 species